rnacentral:rRNA from 1 species
AUAACUUAACGAAUCGCAUGGGCUUGCGCGGGAUGGUUCAUUCAAAUUUCUGCCCUAUCAACUUUCGAUGGUAGGAUAGUGGCCUACCAUGGUAUCAACGGGUAACGGGGAAUUAGGGUUCUAUUCCGGAGAGGGAGCCUGAGAAACGGCUACCACAUCCAAGGAAGGCAGCAGGCGCGCAAAUUACCCAAUCCCGACACGGGGAGGUAGUGACAAUAAAUACUGAUACAGGGCUCUUUUGGGUCUUGUAAUUGGAAUGAGAACAAUUUAAAUCCCUUAACGAGGAACAAUUGGAGGGCAAGUCUGGUGCCAGCAGCCGCGGUAAUUCCAGCUCCAAUAGCGUAUAUUAAAGUUGUUGCAGUUAAAAAGCUCGUAGUUGAACCUUGGGCCUGGCUGGCCGGUCCGCCUCACCGCGUGCACUGGUCCGGCCGGGCCUUUCCUUCUGGGGAGCCGCAUGCCCUUCACUGGGUGUGUCGGGGAACCAGGACUUUUACUUUGAAAAAAUUAGAGUGUUCAAAGCAGGCCUUUGCUCGGAUACAUUAGCAUGGAAUAAUAGAAUAGGACGUGCGGUCCUAUUUGGUGGUUUCUAGGACCGGCGUAAUGAUUAAUAGGGAUAGUCGGGGGCAUCAGUAUUCAAUUGGUCAGAGGUGAAAUUCUUGGAUCUAUUUGAAGACUAACUAAUGGGGAAAAGGCUUUUGGCAAGGGAUGU